rnacentral:rRNA from 1 species
GGGGGAUGACGUCAAGUCCUCAUGGCCUUUAUGUCCAGGGCUACACACGUGCUACAAUGGCAAGUACAAAGCGCUGCAAACUCGCGAGAGGGAGCCAAUCGCAAAAAGCUUGUCUCAGUUCGGAUUGGAGUCUGCAACUCGACUCCAUGAAGCUGGAAUCGCUAGUAAUCGCAGAUCAGCGUGCUGCGGUGAAUACGUUCCCGGGUCUUGUACACACCGCCCGUCACAUCACGAAAGUGGGUUGUACUAGAAAUCGUCGCGCCAACCCGUAAGGGAGGCAGACGCUCACGGUAUGA